rnacentral:rRNA from 1 species
AGUGAACGCUGGCGGUAGGCCUAACACAUGCAAGUCGAACGGCAGCACAGUAAGAGCUUGCUCUUACGGGUGGCGAGUGGCGGACGGGUGAGGAAUACAUCGGAAUCUACUUUUUCGUGGGGGAUAACGUAGGGAAACUUACGCUAAUACCGCAUACGACCUACGGGUGAGAGCAGGGGAUCUUCGGACCUUGCGCGAUUGAAUGAGCCGAUGUCGGAUUAGCUAGUUGGCGGGGUAAAGGCCCACCAAGGCAACGAUCCGUAGCUGGUCUGAGAGGAUGAUCGGCCACACUGGAACUGAGACACGGUCCAGACUCCUACGGGAGGCAGCAGUGGGGAAUAUUGGACAAUGGGCGCAAGCCUGAUCCAGCCAUACCGCGUGGGUGAAGAAGGCCUUCGGGUUGUAAAGCCCUUUUGUUGGGGAAGAAAAGCAGCAGGUUAAUACCCCGCUGUUCUGACGGUACCCAAAGAAUAAGCACCGGCUAACUUCGUG